rnacentral:rRNA from 1 species
GGUUGUCGUCAGCUCGUGUCGUGAGAUGUUGGGUUAAGUCCCGCAACGAGCGCAACCCUACUUGUUAGUUGCCAUCAUUCAGUUGGGCACUCUAGCGAGACUGCCGGUAAUAAACCGGAGGAAGGUGGGGAUGACGUCAAAUCAUCAUGCCCCUUAUGACCUGGGCUACACACGUGCUACAAUGGUUGGUACAACGAGUUGCGAGUCGGUGACGGCGAGCUAAUCUCUUAAAGCCAAUCUCAGUUCGGAUUGUAGGCUGCAACUCGCCUACAUGAAGUCGGAAUCGCUAGUAAUCGCGGAUCAGCACGCCGCGGUGAAUACGUUCCCGGGCCUU